CUGUCCUUGGAUGGUCAUUCUUGUUGAGUGAUAACCAGGGCAGCUCCAUUGUAUAAACAAAUUGAUCUGGUGAUAAGAGAUGAUGGGUAGGUUAUAUGAUCGAGAAAAGGCGAAUCUGAGUCCACUAUGCAAUAAAACUGCAGCUACCUCCCCUAAUGUGUGUAGUAUUGAAGGCAAAAGAGAACUUUUAAUGUCUUGCUACUUUAAAAUUCCAAAAUGGUGAAUUCUUCCUUUGCUGGUUACUUAACCAUGAUUUUUUGUUUUGCUUUGGUUCUGGUUGAGAUACUAAAGGUUGUUUAUGUAUGAAAAUAAUAGACACUUGUAGUUUUGUAUGCCUCACCUGUAGCUUAGGAUCCAGUGUUGUAAUGUUUUGCCUGAGUAAAAAUAACUCUAAUCAAUAAUAGUGGUUCUAUCCUUCUGAUUUGAACUGGGAGAGGGCCACUCAUUCUUGAUCUUAAGGUGACCCCAUUUUUCUAUGCCUCAUGCUCAUGCUGCUCUAUGUUCCCUUUUAAAGAUUCUUGCUUGCAUUUUGGGUUGGUUUUCUGCUCUAUGUUCCCUUUUAGCAUUUCUUUCCGCUGUUGUUGCAUUCCCUUUUUUGUAUAUUACAUGUUCUUUUUGUAUCUCAUUCUGCAUGUAACAUAACUAAAUAAUACAUUGAUAUGAAAGGUUAUAUCUGAUAUCAUUGAGAGGAGCAGGCCAACAUCCCUACCUCCCUCUUCAACUCCCACCCAACACAAUUGUGGUGAGCUCCCCCUCUCAUCUACUUGCUAUUUGUACCUUCGGUUUUGGAUGCAUACAAAUUAUGUAUGCCAUGACUGAAACUCGAGCAGCAAAUUGUGCGUGUGUGUGCGUGUGCGCACGCACAUCACGUUUUUGUUUAAUUUUGGAUGGCUCAAACCGGCUGGAGCCAACUUUGUGUGCUUGUGAGUGCGCAUCCAUUGCAUGUAAAAAUCUUGUUUUUUCCAAACUCUUCUACUGUCGGAUGUGUAGAUAAAUUGCUUAUCUGGGCAGUUGUAGUACUCCAUGCCAUUACUAACUUUACCAUUACUUGCUUGGGCACAUCGUUGGGACCGGCACCCUCGCGCCAAGGCGCGUUGCCGAUCUAGAUGACGGUGGCUGGUCUGCAGGCUUUUAUUGUUGGGAACAGGAACUGGACUGUUCGUGUAUAUGUUUCGCCUUUGUGGCAGCAUCGUGGAACCACUGACAACGGUCCUAUCAAACACACUGACAUGGUUCUUUUGGAUGCCCAGUGUCGGUGUAAAGAAAGUGCCAGCAAGUGGUCUACAUAAGUCUGGACUGCGUAAACCUUUGUUUUCCGAUGGGUAUGCUCAGGGACUCGCAAAAGUGGAUGGCAGCUCCGGUGGUCCCGGUGAUGAACUUGCUACUACCUCGAGGUUUGAUGCAGGUUUUUGACAGUAUAUGCAUCAUCUCUUACUUCUUUCACAUAAUUUUCAUUUGUUAUUGAAGCAAAUCAACUGAAGACCUGGCAGCAGAUGAAGCCAAGCCCUCUGUGGCUAAAAGGGCCAAGUUUUAGAUCAAACGCCCUUAGGUAGCCUAUAGUUUUGGUGUGUCUGUGAUACGUCUCCAACGUAUCUAUAAUUUUUGAUUGCUCCAUGCUACUUUAUCUACUGUUUAGGCAAUAUUGGGCUUUAUUAUC